UACGAAGGGAGCUAGCGUUGUUCGGAAUCACUGGGCGUAAAGCGCACGUAGGCGGAUUUGUAAGUCAGGGGUGAAAUCCCGGGGCUCAACCUCGGAACUGCCUUUGAUACAGCACGUCUCGAGUCCGGAAGAGGUGGGUGGAAUUCCUAGUGUAGAGGUGAAAUUCGUAGAUAUUAGGAAGAACACCGGUGGCGAAGGCGGCCCACUGGUCCGGUACUGACGCUGAGGUGCGAAAGCGUGGGGAGCAAACAGG
rnacentral:rRNA from 1 species